GCGGGCAUAGCUCAGUUGGUUAGAGCGCUAGAUUGUGGCUUUAGAGGUCGCCGGUUCGAGACCGGUUGUUCGCC
rnacentral:tRNA from 1 species